rnacentral:lncRNA from 1 species
AACAUUGUACCCCAUUUCUCCUUCAGCUGCUGCUGUCUCAGGUCUGCCACCAGCUUUCCCUCAAUUGUGGAAUGACUGUUUGUACAUGUUGCCAUCUCUUGACGUCUGAACAAAAUCUGCUGUUCUCCUUUCAAUAUUUUUAAUGAGUGUCCUAUGACUAGUUUCACACAAUCAGUCCCAGAUGCUUCAGACACGUUGGAUCCUUAUGGGUCAGAGGGAAACCACACAGACUCCCAGAUCUGGAAUGAGAGUGCAGGAGAGAUGCAACAGAGGAAAAGGUCUUCACAAACCCCAGUUCCAGGAAGGAGAGAGUUUACUUGGAAGAGGAACCAGGGUUGACAGCUGCAUGGCUGUUCUCCAAAGAUCCUUUCAGAAACUUGGCAUCCUAGCUGCUCUGUCAUCUCAUUGGUGCAUACAGUAUCCAAAAUGUUCCUUUGGCCUUGGUCCACUGUGUCUGUUGCAAUCUCUCCUUUUUGUGAAGCCUUUGGCAAAGGACAUCAGAAAAGGACAACAUAUUGUGCAUACUUCUAAUAAAAGGCCUGGAAAAAAACUGCUGACAUACUAGUCAGCCAUAUAUUCCAGGAAGAGUUGGGAAUGUACAGUUUUGGGGUCAUGGAGCCUCCAGUAAUUUAUAGAAAAUAUAUAUUUUUCAUGGAUAAUCCUAAUAGUUUUCUUCAGCAGACCAUUUCAAAACUUUUAGAAAUUAAUUAUUGCUUAUAAUGCAAUUUACAACAGGUUUUUUUUUCUGUCAUAUCUGAAUGCUUGGCUUUUGAAAAGAAAAUAUGAUUUUAUUGUUGGAUUAUAUUCUGGUGCAAAUUUAGGUCUCUUUUUGGAGUGUGCUUACAGUAGUUAAGAAGUAUAAAUUCAGAAGAGGGCAACCUCAUAACAGAUUUUUAGUUAUUGGGUUUCACAGAUGAAAAUAAAAUGUUUCAGUUAUUUAAACUGUAAAAUGAA